CCUACGGGAGGCUGCAGUGAGGAAUAUUGGUCAAUGGACGAGAGUCUGAACCAGCCAAGUAGCGUGAAGGAUGACUGCCCUAUGGGUUGUAAACUUCUUUUAUAUGGGAAUAAAAUGUUCCACGUGUGGGAUUUUGUAUGUACCAUAUGAAUAAGGAUCGGCUAACUCCGUGCCAGCAGCCGCGGUAAUACGGAGGAUCCGAGCGUUAUCCGGAUUUAUUGGGUUUAAAGGGAGCGUAGGUGGAUUGUUAAGUCAGUUGUGAAAGUUUGCGGCUCAACCGUAAAAUUGCGGUUGAAACUGGCAGUCUUGAGUACAGUAGAGGUGGGCGGAAUUCGUGGUGUAGCGGUGAAAUGCUUAGAUAUCACGAAGAACUCCGAUUGCGAAGGCAGUUCACUGGACUGCAACUGACACUCAGGCUCGAAAGUGUGGGUAUCAAACAGGAUUAGAUACCCUAGUAGUC
rnacentral:rRNA from 1 species